rnacentral:rRNA from 1 species
UGGGGAAUCUUCCGCAAUGGGCGCAAGCCUGACGGAGCAACGCCGCGUGAGUGAAGAAGGUCUUCGGAUCGUAAAGCUCUGUUGAUGGGGACGAACGUGCCUAAUGCGAAUAGUAUUAGGUAAUGACGGUACCCAUCGAGGAAGCCACGGCUAACUACGUGCCAGCAGCCGCGGUAAUACGUAGGUGGCGAGCGUUGUCCGGAAUCAUUGGGCGUAAAGGGAGCGCAGGCGGGCAUGUAAGUCUUUCUUAAAAGUGCGGGGCUCAACCCCGUGAUAGGAAAGAAACUAUGUGUGUUGUGGACUGGAGAGGAAAGCGGAAUUCCCAGAGUAGCGGUGAAAUGCGUAGAUAUUAGGGGGAACACCAGUAGCGAAGGCGGCUUUCUGGACUGCAACUGACGCUGAGGCUCGAAAGCCAGGGGAGCGAACGGG